rnacentral:rRNA from 1 species
GAUGAACGCUGGCGGCGUGCCUAAUACAUGCAAGUCGAGCGAACGGACGAGAAGCUUGCUUCUCUGAUGUUAGCGGCGGACGGGUGAGUAACACGUGGAUAACCUACCUAUAAGACUGGGAUAACUUCGGGAAACCGGAGCUAAUACCGGAUGAUAUUUUGAACCGCAUGGUUCAAAAGUGAAAGACGGUCUUGCUGUCACUUAUAGAUGGAUCCGCGCUGCAUUAGCUAGUUGGUAAUGUAACGGCUUACCAAGGCAACGAUGCAUAGCCGACCUGAGAGGAUGAUCGGCCACACUGGAACUGAGACACGGUCCAGACUCCUACGGGAGGCAGCAGUAGGGAAUCUUCCGCAAUGGGCGAAAGCCUGACGGAGCAACGCCGCGUGAGUGAUGAAGGUCUUCGGAUCGUAAAACUCUGUUAUUAGGGAAGAACAUAUGUGUAAGUAACUGUGCACAUCUUGACGGUACCUAAUCAGAAAGCCACGGCUAACUACGUG